ACCGCCUUCCAGCGUCCCAAAAUGGCGCUGUGCCGCCCGCGGAGGCGUUUGUGGUACGGCGGUGCGUCUCGGUCCCGAGCGAGGACUGCCGCCGGCUGCCGUCACCUGACGAGAGGGAAAGGCAAGCUGAGCUGCACCCUCAGGGUAACUGGAUUUAAGAACGAAAUUAGUCCAACACCUCGCACUGAGAGAAUAAAGCUAAGUUGUCUGUCGGGGAAUAGGAAGACUGAAAACAGCAAAAUGAUUUUCUUCCAGAGAUGAGGAAACUUGUCAGUGUGUUUUGGAUACUUUAAACGGAAGCCUUUGGCAAACAUGUGCAAGCACACUCCUAAUCCCUUUGCUGAAGUGCCCUGAUAUUUUGGAAUAGGUCAUAGAAAACCUUCUGGGAAUAAACUCUGUGAGUCAAAACCUGACAAAAUUAAAGAAUCCCAGGAGACAUUUUGGGGUCAUUCAUCUCCUCAUAUGCAAUACAGCAACAGAUAAGAAAUCUUGAACAGCACGGGGCAGUCUACUCAAAAGAUGUGAAACAACAGUAAGAAAACAUCCAGAGAAACUGAAUUGAUUUUGUUACUGUUGGUGUGAGAAAUGUGAGAUUUUCAGGGAAGAAACUGUGAGCUUUUACAAAUCUGUUGUCCCUUGGGACUCUUCUUAAUAACAAUUCAAAUUGCUUGAGCAUUUGGUGCCAAACCUCUGGAGCAUGUCCUCAAUCUGUGCCGAGGUAAAUACGGCUUCCUGGAACGGCUUCCUGUCCCCUUACUAUUGGACAUCAUUUCCUCUCUGGGACUUGAAGACAUUGGCAGCUCUCUCAAGUUUCAUGUAGAUUUGAAAUAGUAAAAAUAAAUAAGUAAAAUAAGAUUUAAAAUGUACAGCAUGUUGAUUAAGUCACAUUUAAUAUAACCAUUGUUCU
rnacentral:lncRNA from 7 species